AGAGUUUGAUCCUGGCUCAGGAUGAACGCUGGCGGCGUGCUUAACACAUGCAAGUCGAACGGGAAUGCUUCGCUGAUGCGAUUUCGGUCAAAUCUUGAAGCAUUUUAGUGGCGGACGGGUGAGUAACGCGUGGGUAACCUGCCCUGUACAGGGGGACAACAGUUGGAAACGACUGCUAAUACCGCAUAAGCGCACAGCUUCGCAUGAAGCAGUGUGAAAAACUCCGGUGGUACAGGAUGGACCCGCGUUUGAUUAGAUAGUUGGUGAGGUAACGGCCCACCAAGUCAACGAUCAGUAGCCGGCCUGAGAGGGCGAACGGCCACAUUGGGACUGAGACACGGCCCAAACUCCUACGGGAGGCAGCAGUGGGGAAUAUUGCACAAUGGGGGAAACCCUGAUGCAGCGACGCCGCGUGAGUGAAGAAGUAUUUCGGUAUGUAAAGCUCUAUCAGCAGGGAAGAAAACAAUGACGGUACCUGACUAAGAAGCCCCGGCUAACUACGUGCCAGCAGCCGCGGUAAUACGUAGGGGGCAAGCGUUAUCCGGAUUUACUGGGUGUAAAGGGAGCGCAGGCGGGAAGACAAGUUGGAAGUGAAAUCCAUGGGCUCAACCCAUGAACUGCUUUCAAAACUGUUUUUCUUGAGUAGUGCAGAGGUAGGCGGAAUUCCCGGUGUAGCGGUGGAAUGCGUAGAUAUCGGGAGGAACACCAGUGGCGAAGGCGGCCUACUGGGCACCAACUGACGCUGAGGCUCGAAAGUGUGGGUAGCAAACAGGAUUAGAUACCCUGGUAGUCCACACCGUAAACGAUGAUUACUAGGUGUUGGAGGAUUGACCCCUUCAGUGCCGCAGUUAACACAAUAAGUAAUCCACCUGGGGAGUACGACCGCAAGGUUGAAACUCAAAGGAAUUGACGGGGGCCCGCACAAGCAGUGGAGUAUGUGGUUUAAUUCGACGCAACGCGAAGAACCUUACCAAGUCUUGACAUCCUGCGACGAUGCUGGAAACAGUAUUUUCCUUCGGGACGCAGAGACAGGUGGUGCAUGGUUGUCGUCAGCUCGUGUCGUGAGAUGUUGGGUUAAGUCCCGCAACGAGCGCAACCCUUAUGGUCAGUUACUACGCAAGAGGACUCUGGCCAGACUGCCGUUGACAAAACGGAGGAAGGUGGGGAUGACGUCAAAUCAUCAUGCCCUUUAUGACUUGGGCUACACACGUACUACAAUGGCGUUAAACAAAGAGAAGCAAGACCGCGAGGUGGAGCAAAACUCAGAAACAACGACCCAGUUCGGACUGCAGGCUGCAACUCGCCUGCACGAAGUCGGAAUUGCUAGUAAUCGUGGAUCAGCAUGCCACGGUGAAUACGUUCCCGGGCCUUGUACACACCGCCCGUCACACCAUGAGAGCCGGGGGGACCCGAAGUCGGUAGUCUAACCGCAAGGAGGACGCCGCCGAAGGUAAAACUGGUGAUUGGGGUGAAGUCGUAACAAGGUA
rnacentral:rRNA from 1 species